GGAGUUAGCCGGUGCUUCUUCUGUGAGUGAUGUCCUUCCUGCCGGCUAUUAACCCGCAGGCCUUCUUCCUCACUGAAAGUGCUUUACAACCCGAAGGCCUUCUUCACACACGCGGCAUGGCUGGAUCAGGGUUGCCCCCAUUGUCCAAUAUUCCCCACUGCUGCCUCCCGUAGGAGUCUGGGCCGUGUCUCAGUCCCAGUGUGGCUGAUCAUCCUCUCAGACCAGCUACGGAUCGUCGCCUUGGUGAGCCGUUACCUCACCAACCAGCUAAUCCGACAUAGGCUCAUCCGAUAGCGCGAGGCCCGAAGGUCCCCCGCUUUCCCCCGUAGGGCGUAUGCGGUAUUAGCCUGGGUUUCCCCAGGUUAUCCCCCACUACCGGGCAGAUUCCUAUGCAUUACUCACCCGUCCGCCGCUCGCCACCAGGGAGCAAGCUCCCCGUGCUGCCGCUCGACUUGCAUGUGUAGCUGCGCCAGCGUCAUCUGAGCAUGAUACAACUACUGA
rnacentral:rRNA from 1 species